rnacentral:rRNA from 1 species
CUUUUAAUUAAAGGCAAGUAUGAAAGAUUUAACGUUUAAAUUCCUUUUUUUNAUGAAUUUUUGAAAUUUUCUUGAAAAUAAAAAUAUUUUCAUAUAAAAGUUAGACGACAAGACCCUAUUGAACUUAACUGAAGUUUAGCUGGGGCAGCUAUAUAAUAAUUAUUUUAUUUUUAAUAUUAAAUUUUAUGACCCAAUAAAAUUGAAUCAUCGAUCAAGUUACCAUAGGGAUAACAGCGUAAUAAUCCUUUGAAGCUCUUAUUUAAAGNAUAUAUUGCGACCUCGAUGUUGAAUUAAUUUUCCUUUAAAACGCANUAGUUUUAAAAGUAAGUCUGUUCGACUUUUAAAAAAUUACA